AUUGAACGCUGGCGGGAUGCUUUACACAUGCAAGUCGAGCGGCAGCGCGGCCUUCGGGCUGGCGGCGAGCGGCGAACGGGUGAGUAAUGCAUCGGAACAUGCGCAGUCGUGGGGGAUAACACUUCGAAAGAAGUGCUAAUACCGCAUACGGCCUGUGGGGGAAAGCGGGGGAUCGCAAGACCUCGCGCGAUUGGAGUGGCCGAUGUCAGAUUAGCUAGUUGGUGGGGUAAAGGCCUACCAAGGCGACGAGCUGUAGCUGGUCUGAGAGGAUGAUCAGCCACACUGGGACUGAGACACGGCCCAGACUCCUACGGGAGGCAGCAGUGGGGAAUUUUGGACAAUGGGGGCAACCCUGAUCCAGCCAUUCCGCGUGAGUGAAGAAGGCCUUCGGGUUGUAAAGCUCUUUCGGCAGGAACGAAACGGUGGGCUCUAACAUAGUCCGCUAAUGACGGUACCUGAAGAAGAAGCACCGGCUAACUACGUG
rnacentral:rRNA from 1 species